GAGAGACGGGGAAAGAGAGCCAGGGACAACAAUGCCACAUUAGAAAGAGACUCUUUGAAGGGCUCAUUCCAAGGUCUGUCAUGCUUUUGAGACUGUUAAAUCUACUGCUCCUGUGAUUGCUCCUGACCUCCUCACUCCUCCACCUGUUCCAGCUCCCAGGGGAGCUCGGGCCCAGCUUCCCCUGCACCCAUUGCAGUUCCUCAGUCAACUCCACGGAUCAUUACUCACCUGUUGCCUGCAGCUGUUCAUAGUCUGGACCGCUGGUCUGCUCGCAAAUACUUAUGCCACGUCAGUCUCUGCACGGACUCCAGUUUCAUUCUCACCUGCCUGCCUCUCGGCCAACUCCCUUGGAUUUCUGGAAUUGGAUCAUAUCAUAUCUUCACACUCACCCGGACCGACUACAUCUUUCCCUUCCCUCCCUGGUCACGCCUCCAACUGAAAACAAAGUUUCUGACCUCUGGCCUAUAACCCACCUAAUCAUGUCAGCCCUAUGAAUUACUUCCUGGAACCCUGUUGCAUAAUCAUGUCCACUCCACUCAAGUUCAUGUAACCUGUGUUCAUUAGCCACUGACCCCAGCUCUUGUUCAUGUUUAUGGUCUGUUCCGUUUAGCCUUAGUUUUACACAUUUGUAAAUAGUAUUGCCUCACAGUUGUAUAUAGUCCCCUCACUAAAUCCCCUGUAAAUAGCUUCCUGCUCAUCUUAUUAUUGGCUGUGUUCUCUCGUCACGGUAAAUACAUUAUUUCACUUCACGCUUCGAGUACCUGUGUGUUGAAUCUGUGCCUUGAGUGCACUCUGCCUGACGGCCUCCAGCCAUGACACCUAGGCAAUUCUGAAGAGAGGAAAGAAUAUCAAUAAAAGUUCCAAAGGGGGCUAACAAGAAAAUAUAUUACCAGGAAACAUGACCAUGAGAGAUAUACAUUGUUGAGUUAGAAUGGGCAGAUUCUCCAACCUUUAAUUUCUGAUUUGUCGGAUCUUGAACCUUUUCAUUUAAAUUUUACUGACUGAUGUACCUGGAGAGGUGUGAGACAUGUUUAUGUAUUGGAAUCACCUUUAUGCAAUGAGAUGACAGGAAAAGUGAUGUAACUACCAUCAUAGAAGGCAGCUGCAUCUAUAGGCGUUGGGAUCCCUGGCCACUGCUCCUCAGUCUAGUAUAAGCAGUUGCACACUGUUGAGAUCUCACAUAGAUGGGUAUUCCUGAUAAUAGGUGAAAGAGCAAGAUAUAUCAGAUAUAUCAGAUAUAUGAGAUCCUCUGGUGCAUCGACCUAACUGGGGGACUCUUCAACUGGCAGGGAGGUUGUUCCAUCCUUGCAGAAGUCCACUCUGCAGGUGGGGGAGAGACACAGGAGAGGUGGAGAAUAAACCUAACCUGGGUGUCUGUUGUCUUGUGUAGUCUGGAGA